rnacentral:rRNA from 1 species
CAUACCGCCGGCCCCGAAAUACAGUGGCGGCCCGUCCGCGGCGACCUCUGCGUAGUACUCCAACGCGCACCGGGAACCCGACGCGGCCACGCCGUAAAACACCCAACUUCUGAACGUUGACCUCGGAUCAGGUAGGACU